rnacentral:rRNA from 1 species
GAUGAACGCUGGCGGCGUGCCUAAUACAUGCAAGUCGAGCGAACAGACGAGAAGCUUGCUUCUCUGAUGUUAGCGGCGGACGGGUGAGUAACACGUGGAUAACCUACCUAUAAGACUGGGAUAACUUCGGGAAACCGGAGCUAAUACCGGAUAAUAUUUUGAACCGCAUGGUUCAAUAGUGAAAGACGGUCUUGCUGUCACUUAUAGAUGGAUCCGCGCUGCAUUAGCUAGUUGGUAAGGUAACGGCUUACCAAGGCAACGAUGCGUAGCCGACCUGAGGGGGUGAUCGGCCACACUGGAACUGAGACACGGUCCAGACUCCUACGGGAGGCAGCAGUAGGGAAUCUUCCGCAAUGGGCGAAAGCCUGACGGAGCAACGCCGCGUGAGUGAUGAAGGUCUUCGGAUCGUAAAACUCUGUUAUUAGGGAAGAACAAAUGUGUAAGUAACUGUGCACAUCUUGACGGUACCUAAUCAGAAAGCCACGGCUAACUACGUG